CUCAAUUAUUUAUAUAUGUUAAAUAGAGGAUCUCUUACACUAUAUAAAAUUAUGGCUAAGAUAUCUGUAUGGUUAGCCCUACUAAGUUCUAUGCUUUAAGACAUUAUAGUGGUAAAUAAGGGAACCACCAGCGGUUACACUCUAAUGGGUGAUUCUACCGCAAGGGACAUAGACAUAUGGCAUAAAAAAAAAAAAUAGUAAUACCACAAGAACAACCAGAACUUUACAUCUCUACAACUUUGCAGCCUAGGGCUGCCGGAUCAGUGAGUCCCUCCGUUGGGUUUGGACCGGGCUGGAGAUGUCCCUGCCAGUCAGGAAUCAGGUGGGCAGUCGGCUACUGUUCUUGGCACAAAUGGUACCACUCUGGAUGGGUCCCAUCCGUGAGCGCGAUUUGAGUCCGUUGGUGCUGCCGUUGCCUCUUGCAUGUCUAGAGCUGCAAGGAAUGCUGGGAUAUCAGUCCCUGUAGUUAGCCGUUGGGUCCACCCGAGACAAGGAGGGAUUGUGGUGUUCCCCACCUGUAGGGCACUCCUGCUGCCCACAGUCGGGUGGUGACAGGGUUCAGGGAUUUUCGCCAUUGUAGUGUGGCCUUGGAUAAGUCCUGGUAAAAGGACAGUUGCGAAUCUUCAAAGAGCAGUGGGGUCUUAUUUUUUACCGCUGCCAUUAUUUGCCCCUUGUCUUGAGGUAGUGCGCAGCGGCGUAUGACGUCGCUGGGCGUUUUGGCGGUGGUUAAGGUAGACGUUGGUAGGCGAUAUAGCCCAGCGAUGGUUAUUUUUUUAGCGGUAGCAGGUGGCAGUACUGAAGCCAGCAGCCUUCUGACGUAGUGUGGCAGCUCCUCUUGGGGGACCGUGGCCGGGAUGCCCCUUAUUUUUACGUGGUUGCGGCGGUACCUGUCCUCCUGCGCUGCCACCUGUAGUGUAAGGGCCUGUUGGGCUGCUUGUAGUUGGAGUAUAGAUGCCUGCAUGGUGGAGGUGUCUUGGCUAAGCUCUUUAAUAUUUGCUUCAGUUGCCUCCAUUCUGCCUGUAAGUUGAUGCAGAGAUGAUUUUAGGAUAGGCAGGUCCGCAGUGAGCAGGUUUUGAGUGUCCUGCAGCAUAGUGUACAGGGUUUGGAGGUCCUGUUUGGUUGCAGGUUCAGAGUUACCUGCUGAUGCUGUGGGCUGUUGCUGUGAGCCCUCCGUUGUGUUCUGCAGCUGAAGUGUUGCAGGUGCGUCCGUGUGGGGAGCCUCUGGUGAGGUUGGGCCUUCCGCGGCCGCCAUCUUGGCGGAGGUGUGCCGCUGGAGCAUAGCUCCUAUAUCCCUCUGUUCUG